rnacentral:rRNA from 1 species
GAUGAACGCUGGCGGCGUGCCUAAUACAUGCAAGUCGAGCGAACAGACGAGGAGCUUGCUCCUCUGACGUUAGCGGCGGACGGGUGAGUAACACGUGGAUAACCUACCUAUAAGACUGGGAUAACUUCGGGAAACCGGAGCUAAUACCAGAUAACAUGUUGAACCGCAUGGUUCAACAGUGAAAGACGGUUUUGCUGUCACUUAUAGAUGGAUCCGCGUCGCAUUAGCUAGUUGGUAAGGUAACGGCUUACCAAGGCAACGAUGCGUAGCCGACCUGAGAGGGUGAUCGGCCACACUGGAACUGAGACACGGUCCAGACUCCUGCGGGAGGCAGCAGUCGGGAAUCUUCCGCAAUGGGCGAAAGCCUGACGGAGCAACGCCGCGUGAGUGAAGAAGGUCUUCGGAUCGUAAAACUCUGUUAUUAGGGAAGAACAAAUGUGUAAGUAACUAUGCACGUCUUGACGGUACCUAAUCAGAAAGCCACGGCUAACUACGUG